rnacentral:rRNA from 1 species
GAAACUCGCCUACAUGAAGCCGGAGUUGCUAGUAAUCGCGAAUCAGCAUGUCGCGGUGAAUACGUUCCCGGGCCUUGUACACACCGCCCGUCACACCAUGAGAGUUGGCAAUACCCGAAGUCUGUGUGCUAACCCGUAAGGGAGGCAGUAGCCGAAGGUAGGGUCAGCGAUUGGGGUGAAGUCGUAACAAGGUAGCCGUAGGAGAACCUGCGGCUGGAUCACCUCCUUU